GGCGCACGGGUGAGUAACGCGUAGGUAAUCUACCCUUAUACCUGGGAUAACAUUGGGAAACUGGUGCUAAUACCGGAUACACUCUACUGCUGCGGGGCAGUAGAGGAAAGGUGACCUCUUGGUCAAAGUUACCGUAUAGGGAUGAGCCUGCGUACCAUUAGCUAGUAGGUGGGGUAACGGCCCACCUAGGCGACGAUGGUUAGCGGGUCUGAGAGGAUGAUCCGCCACACUGGAACUGGAACACGGACCAGACUCCUACGGGAGGCAGCAGUGAGGAAUAUUGCGCAAUGGGGGAAACCCUGACGCAGCGACGCCGCGUGAGUGAGGAAGGCCUUCGGGUCGUAAAGCUCUGUCAGAAGGGAAGAAGUGUUAUACGGUUAAUACCCGUAUAAUUUGACGGUACCUUCAGAGGAAGCACCGGCUAACUCCGUGCCAGCAGCCGCGGUAAUACGGAGGGUGCGAGCGUUGUUCGGAAUUACUGGGCGUAAAGGGCGCGUAGGCGGCUUUAUAAGUCAGAUGUGAAAGCCCACGGCUUAACUGUGGAAGUGCAUUUGAAACUGUGAAGCUUGAGUAUCGGAGGGGAGUGUGGAAUUCCC
rnacentral:rRNA from 1 species